AGCUUCUUACAGGAUAAAAGUAAGUGAGCAUGUGCGGUUUAGAGACACCGCUACUCACAAAAGCCGGUUUGGUAAUAACCAAGUGCUGUAGGAUGUCCACGACCGAUGUAGAGACCCAAAAGCUCUUUGUGCAACAGGUGACUGCAGAUAUAUAGACCCAGCAGGUCUGUGUUGGUGUGUUGGUGUGUCGGUCAUCAGACGGCACAGUUUGUAGAUAUAAUCUCCAAUAGAGUAAUUUGUGGGAUUCAAGCUCCGCCCACAGCGUGACAUCAGUGCAUCUACACGUUUCGCCCUCAGGCUUCGUCAGGACUUUAGUUAAGUAUCGGCCAUUGGUAAAUUGGGCAUAAUUUAAGGGCAAGAUAAAU